GGGAUGGGGAGGUGUGUGUGUUGCAAGGCAAUGGGAGUUGGGGAGGACGACGGCAGGGAGGAGCUGCCUGCACCCAUUUGGAGGCGGAUGCUGUAGCCUGGCCCCUCGGCAGUUGGGGCUGCUGCACCAGCCAGAGCCACUAUACUGUGAGAGGCCCAAGCUAUGUGCAGAGGUCAUUAUAGACAAGAACCAAGGCCCUCCACCUGAUGGUCACCUCUGAACUCCCAGCUGGAAACCAGUACCAUCUGACAGCCAUGUGAGUGACCGUCUUACACAUUCCAGCCCAGUCGAGCCAGAUGACUGCAACUCCAGCCACAUGGAGCAGAAGAACCACUCAGAUGAGUCCGCUCAGUGCAGAUAACCGUGAUACCAUGAAGAGUUAUUGUUUUAAGGCACUGAAUUUUGGGAGUAUUCCUGUCAGUGCCACUACUGCUACCAUUCCUGUUGGAUGCCCAUGAAACAUAGCACUCAUUCUAACUGUUCCUUUACUCUUAUAAUGUCACAAUAUCUUCAAGGAAUUCCAAUUUCUCCAUAAUGCCCCCAUGUGGAAAAAGCACGGGGACUCACACCAAAAAUCAGAAAAGGCGCCCCUUCUCUGACUGCCUCUGAGAUGCAAUUUUCCUGGUUUCAAAAGAUUGUUCCUCUGACCUUAGUUUCCAGAUGUUUGAAGAGUUGCCCUAGUUACAUCCUGCAUAUCGGGACCCAGGACACCACUGACUGGAGAAAACUUGCUGUGGAAGUGUGUUUCAUGCUUGGCUUCUGUCAUGACCUUUCGUCACCAUGCCAUGCCUCCAUGUCAAAGUCAAGAUUCUGCAUAGUGUGAGGGGCAAGAAAGCAACCAGUGAUUUGUCUACCUCAUCUAAUCUCAAAGCAAUCUGAUUUACUUCUUUCUUUGCCUUCUUCUUAGGGCAUAAAGUAUUUCCAGAUAGUUGAUCUGCUCACCUGCAAGCCUGAGGCCAGACUUCAUCCUGCUACAGCCUUAGGGAAUUUUAAUUGUUCUUUUGUUUAAGUCAGGAUUGCCCACCACAACAGGGAGGUAGGUCAGUGCUCUUUCUCUAUCUUCCUCAGGGUUCACAGAGGAUAGUUAUGCUUAAAGUCCCAAGACUUUCAUUCCAGCCAUCUUCUAUUCUCUUUCUGAGAAGAAACUUUUCCCCAAAGCCCCACAACAGAUGUGAUUUAAACCUUGAAUUUUACACUGAAAGUUUUGUUUCAUGUCCAACCAUGACACUUUUCUUCUUCAGUGUCUUACUUAAGGAUUCAUUUGUUAUUGAUCAACUCAACUAACAUUGGGGCUUAUCGAAAAGCCCAGAUACUUAGUGAGAAAGGUGAACUAUGAGCUGUCUGUUGAUUUACCAAUAUUAGAUGCUGGAAUGCCUGAUUGGAUAUCCCCAAUAAACAAAUGCUGAUACCCUACUACAAAUUUCCACAUCUGAGAACAGUCAUUUCUGAGCCUACCUGGUUGCCUUAAUCAUGUUGAUACCUGUGACACAAGCCUCAGCAUUUCAUAUUUUAGUAAAUACUUAUAUUAUGAAUUGGAUCCAAAUCCAUUCAAGCACACUUAUGAAUCACAGAAACCUUGAAAGAUAUGAUUAGAUGUGAGCUAAAAGUUAGGAAAUUUAUCGAUCUGUUAAAGUAUGUAUAUUGGGAAGCAAGGGGAGAAAAAAAGAAAUAACAGAGCAAAUAUAUUAAAACAUGUUCUUAUAGUGUAACAGAUCUCAUCAUUCCAAUUAUUUAUAUAACAUAUAAAAUAUAAUUCCAUACUAUAUAAUAUAAUGCUACAGUUCAUCUAUCAUGUCACCAAAUGCUGUGGUUCUAAAGAAGCUUCUCAUUUGUGCUUUUCUUCAUCUUUUGAUGGCCAUGUUGACUAGAGCAGGAGUUGCUUACCUCUGACAAUCGUUGCUGAUAUUGAGUAAAGUUGGUAUGAACUUUCGUUGUUCUGCUGGGAUACAUGAUACUGGUUAUGGCCUAAAAGAAUAACAGGAUGUGGUGUAACAUGACGCACUAAAUCCUCUGCUGAAUCAGGCUUUUUGUUUUUCUCAACUGUCUUCCUCUUUUCAUCUGACACUUAGUCUGAUUACACCUUACCUUUAUUCAUGAAAUCUGGAGGUCUAUCGAGGUCAACACUAGAAAGAUUGGGACUACUGGUGUUCUACCUACCUCUUACUCUAAACAAGCAUUUUAACAGGUGAGAAAGAUCUUAAGUUACUUACACAUUUGCUGCAGCAUAAGCCCAUGUCUUGGCUCUUCCGAUCUUCUUUUUCUUUCAUUAUUCCACCACUAGCUAGCCCAAUCUUGCCAUAUAAUAAUAACUGAUAGCUAAUACUUGAUGACAAUUACUUUGUGCCAAGUGCAUUUAUGGAUUAUCUUCAUUUAAUUCUCCCAACAACAUACUCUUUUAGCCCAUUUUUGGAUAAAAAAUACAGAGGUUUAGAGAGAUUGAGUGACUUACUAAGAUCACACAGGAGUGUGGUGGAGCUGAAGUUCAAAAGGUCCACUUUGCAUAUGCACAGCUUUGCCUGCCAAGAGGAGUGAUGGGAACUUGACUUUUCAAAUGGCAAGCAGGUGUCAGAGAUGCUGUAAUGAUUAUGCACUCUCCUUGCUCUUGCUGUCUGUGCCUCACUUCUUAUCCAUGUGCAUCUCACCAUCUCCUCUCUCUCUAUGCCAUACAUUCGUUCAUCAAAUAUUUACUGAGUUUCUCCUGCUGAGCAAUGUUCAAGGCACAGAAGAUUUAGCAGUGAACUAAACAAGGUCUUCUCUCUCAAGAAGCAGGCAUUCUAUUGAGAGUGACAGUUGAUAAAUAAACAAAGAAAAAACACACAAACAGUUUGUAAUAUACAGUACUCUGAGAUGGCCUCUAAUAUAAUGAUAUUUGAAAAAAACACAAUAAAAAUAAAGGAGAGACCAUGCAGUUCUCUGAGAAAAGUGUAUUCCAACCAAAGAGAACAGCAUGUGCAAAGAUCCUGAGGUAGGAAUUUGCUUAGUAUAAUUAAGGACAAGUGUGACUGAGCAGUAUUAACAAGAAGCAGUCAGGAGUGGUAGAAAUGGAGGGUCUGUGCCUUGCAGGGUAUGAUGAGAAUUUUGGAUUUUCCUCUAGGUGAGUUACAUUAGAGGAUUUGAGCAGAAGAGUGAAACAAUCCGUCAUUUACUCUGACUUCUGUGUGGAAAAUAGAAUAUAGGGAAGCAAAGAAAGCUGUAAAGACACCAAUGUGAAGGCUGAUACAACAAUUCAGGUACAAGGUGACAAAGAUGCCUUAGUCUAGAGUGUCUAAAGUGUUAGUCAUGUAGCUGGUGAGAAGUUGUGGCACUGGGGUAUCCUUCCAAAGUAGAGCUGGCAAGUUUUGUUGGUGAGUUGCAUGGCGGGGGGUGGGGGUAGGGGGUGGGGGGGGUAGGGGUGUGAGAUAUAUAUAGGUGUGUUAAGAAUGACUCUUAGAUUAGCCUGAAGCAUGAAAUUGCCAUCAUUAAGAUGGGGAAACUCAAGGAGAAGAAGAUUAGAUAGGGAGAUUAGCUGGUGAUUUUGAGUUUUAUUUUGGUCAUGUUAAUUUUACAAAUUCUUAUAAGAUCAUCCAAGCA